rnacentral:rRNA from 1 species
AGUGAACGCUGGCGGUAGGCCUAACACAUGCAAGUCGAACGGCAGCACAGUAAGAGCUUGCUCUUACGGGUUGCGAGUGGCGGACGGGUGAGGAAUACAUCGGAAUCUACUUUUUCGUGGGGGAUAACGUAGGGAAACUUACGCUAAUACCGCAUACGACCUACGGGUGAAAGCAGGGGAUCUUCGGACCUUGCGCGAUUGAAUGAGCCGAUGUCGGAGUAGCUAGUUGGCGGGGUAAAGGCCCACCAAGGCGACGAUCCGUAGCUGGUCUGAUAGGAUGAUCAGCCACACUGGAACUAAGAGAAGGUCCCAACUCCUAAGGGAGGCACCAGUGGGAAAUAUUGGACAAUGGGCGCAAGACUGAUCCAGACAUACCGCGUGGGUGAUGAAGGCCUUCGGGUUGUAAAGCCCUUUUGUUGGGAAAGAAAAGAAGCAGGUUAAUACCCCGCUGUUCUGACGGUACCCAAAGAAUAAGCACCGGCUAACUUCGUG